rnacentral:rRNA from 1 species
UACUACAAGCGCUAGCUUAAAACCCAAAGGACUUGGCGGUAUCCCAUACCCACCUAGAGGAGCCUGUUCUAUAACCGAUAAUCCCCGUUCAACCUCACCACUUCUUGCCAUUACCGUCUAUAUACCGCCGUCGUCAGCCCACCCUGUGAAGGACUAAAAGUAAGCAAAAAGAAUAAAACUCCAAAACGUCAGGUCGAGGUGUAGCAAAUGAAGUGGGAAGAAAUGGGCUACAUUUUCUUCUAAAAAUAUACGAAUGGUAAACUGAAAACACACCUAAAGGUGGAUUUAGCAGUAAGAGGAGAUCAGAACGCUCCUCUGAAACCGGCUCUGGGAUAAGCACACACCGCCCGUCACUCUCCUCAAAAACAACUUACCCCUUUCCAUAAAUACAUUCCUUCAAUAAGAGGAGGCAAGUCGUAACAUGGUAAGUGUACUGGAAAGUGCACUUGGAAUCAAAA